CAUCACCAAGGAGACGACGUUUCCAUGACAACGACAAUGGAAACAGUACAAGGUACCGUGUUCGAGUGAGCCAUCGACUCCACCCUACAUCAUACACUAUAACUCAAGUUUCGAAUCUUUGUCAAACUAUGAAACAAGAAUUUUUACUUUAAACUUUCAUAAAGACGACUGUAACAAUUGGAUAGGAUGACAUUUAUCUGAUUUAAAAACUGAACCGUGUCGCACGGUAAACAACACCUACAACUAAUGACAAGCAAUUUACGAUAUUCUAAUUUACACGAAAUUUGAAGCUCUCCAUUGACUUAUUUUCUAUUGAAUAACGUUAUUUUUAUUAUAAAAACGAACGUAAACACGAUUUUAUGAUAAUUUUUUAAUUAUUAUUAUUAUUAUUUAAUUUUUCUCUUGACAAAUAUCAUACACAAACCUCAAACGUCAUCAUUAGUAUCAUGAAGAAUACCUAAGGGCAUAAUAAUGUCGUGUUGUCGAUUGAUGUCACGAUGUAUCGUUUAAACGAUGUGGUAUACUAAAAUUAGAAACAAAACCGUAAACUGGACAAUAGAACCUGCUAGUGUAUUGGAACGAUAUUCUCCGAAAGAGGACUUAAAAAAUUCUUCUGUACUAAAAAAAACAUGUGAAAAUAUAUAUAUAUAUAUAUAUAAAUUUUAUUUAAAUAAACUUAAAAAUAUUUUACGAAUGCGACACGUGAGUGAUGACGCAUCGAUUGGAUGAUCGGAGUGGAGAUGGGUGUAACAAAAAAAUCCCCUUUUGUUCAGUUUAAAGAAGUGUGCGAAUAGGAUUGUCGGAUUCGUUACUCGGUGCAGAUUUAGACGGGUGAAACAAAACACACCCCGCAAAACAAAAGUACGAGAAUCGUGAGAGAUGUAUUAAGUAUAAAAUGUCUUCCUGUUGGCUAAACAAGUCAAGAAAGUAUGAGGAAUUAAAAAUGUUCACCCUUUACAGAUGGAAGGAAAACAGAUUUUACGUCAUCAAGGUCAAAACUCCUACGUCACCGAAUGACCAUCAUCGAAACCCGCAUCGGAGGAACUUAACGUCUUUUACAAUGGCGGGUAACUCGUCGCACCUGUGCGAACACGUUUCGUGUUUAUCAAUGAUAGUCAACUAUAAGAAGUAGAGGAAGUUUGAUCAGCUAGCAUCCUGUUACGAAAACGCGUUAUUUUCCCUACUUCUCAGUAAGAGGUAAAGGAAUUAGGUAAAAGAAAAAGAAAAUAAAAUAAAAAUAAAAUUCCUUCGCAUUUUUCAAUCUCCACUUCUUUCUUUAAUUAUAUUUCCUUAAAACGAAAGUAUUUAAAAUAUUUCACACAGUAAAUAAUAUUAAUAAUUUAAUUUUAUAUUUCCUUUUUUCGGUUAUACAUUUUUUAAAACGACAUUUAAAUUUAUCAUCGGUAAUUUUUCUGUAUCUAUUGCAUUGAUAGCUGAUCUACAGAUAAUCUAACUUUUCAAUGUCGUCAUGAUAUUUUUACCUUUUGGACUCAUAUGUGUGUCAUGUACAUCUACUCACGACACACAUUUGAAAUGAAAUUGGGAACACAAUCAUUACACAAUUUGUGUAGCCAGUGAUAAUCUAAACAUCUAAUGAAGCAAUUGCUCUACAGUAGAUAUGCAGGUCUAUAAAUGACUUAACAUGUUCACCUAUUAAAUAAUCAAUUUGUUGGCUACUAAAUAUUUUUCUAUUGUUAGCCACAUUUAUUUUUCCUCCUAGGAUACUAAGCACUCAUUUCAAGAUUUUAUAAUACAGUAUUUCGUAAGUAGAGUGGCUUAUAUAAUAAUAACAAUAAUAAUAAUAAUAAUUUUUUUUUUUAAUUUGAAGGAUGCGAGAAUUUUGAGACAAGAUAAAAGACACUUAUUAUUUAAGAGUGAGCUAUUUGGAAUUAAUUACAGCGUUGGGAAUAUAACUCCCUCAUCGAUUUCAAGUGGAUACCUACUCAAAUUUCAUCAGAAAAGAAGUUUUGUCUGCUUGCAAAAGUUUACAAUGACAUCAACAAAUCCUGUGUAAUCAUUUUGGAGCUAUCCCGGUAAACAGAUUCAGAACACCACGUUCUCCUUUGACCCCGUUUGAUAAGGAAUAAAGAAUAACCCUAAAAAUGGUUAAAAUCUUAACCUUAAUAGUAAAAUUUUAAAAUACAUAAAACAUCCCAAGAAACCAUAAAAAAAAAGAGAGAGAGAGAGAGAGAAACAUAACGCUUAAACACCG
rnacentral:lncRNA from 1 species